rnacentral:rRNA from 1 species
GACGAACGCUGGCGGCGUGCUUAACACAUGCAAGUCGAACGGAAAGGCCCUGCUUUUGUGGGGUGCUCGAGUGGCGAACGGGUGAGUAACACGUGAGUAACCUGCCCUUGACUUUGGGAUAACUUCAGGAAACUGGGGCUAAUACCGGAUAGGAGCUCCUGCUGCAUGGUGGGUGUUGGAAAGUUUCGGCGGUUGGGGAUGGACUCGCGGCUUAUCAGCUUGUUGGUGGGGUAGUGGCUUACCAAGGCUUUGACGGGUAGCCGGCCUGAGAGGGUGACCGGCCACAUUGGGACUGAGAUACGGCCCAGACUCCUACGGGAGGCAGCAGUGGGGAAUAUUGCACAAUGGGCGGAAGCCUGAUGCAGCAACGCCGCGUGCGGGAUGACGGCCUUCGGGUCGUAAACCGCUUUCGCCUGUGACGAAGCGUGAGUGACGGUAAUGGGUAAAGAAGCACCGGCUAACUACGUG